rnacentral:rRNA from 1 species
CGCCUCCUGCAACCCAAGUAUAGGAGGUCCUACCUGCCCAGUGAUAAAUUAAACGGCCGCGGUAUUCUGACCGUGCGAAGGUAGCGCAAUCACUUGUCCUUUAAAUGAGGACCCGUAUGAAUGGUGAAACGAGGGCUUAGCUGUCUCCCCCAUCAAGUCAAUGAAAUUGAUAUAUCCGUGCAGAAGCGGAUAUAACCCUACAAGACGAGAAGACCCUUUGGAGCUUAAGAUAAAAGACUAACUAUGUUAAGAGCCUAGCUAAACUAAAUAGAAACUAGUCUAUAAUCUUCGGUUGGGGCGACCGCGGGAGAAAACAAAGCUCCCAUGAGGACUGGGCAAAGACCUAAAACUAAGAGAGACAUCUCUAAGUAUCAGAAUUUCUGACCAUAAUUGACCCGGCCAACGGCCGAUCAACGAACCAAGUUACCCAAGGGAUAACAGCGCAAUCCCUUUUAAGAGUCCCUAUCGACAAGGGGGUUUACGACCUCGAUGUUGGAUCAGGACAUCCUAAUGGUGCAGCCGCUAUUAAGGGUUCGUUUGUUCAACGAUUAAAGUCCU